rnacentral:rRNA from 1 species
AGUGAACGCUGGCGGCAGGCCUAAUACAUGCAAGUCGAACGGCAGCACAGCUUAAGCUUGCUUAAGUGGGUGGCGAGUGGCGGACGGGUGAGGAAUACGUGGGAAUCUGCCCAGUCGUGGGGGAUAACGUAGGGAAACUUACGCUAAUACCGCAUGCGCCCUUUGGGGGAAAGCCGGGAUCUUCGGACCUGGCGCGAUUGGAUGAGCCCACGUCGGAUUAGCUAGUUGGAGGGGUAAAGGCCCACCAAGGCGACGAUCCGUAGCUGGUCUGAGAGGAUGAUCAGCCACACUGGAACUGAGACACGGUCCAGACUCCUACGGGAGGCAGCAGUAGGGAAUAUUGGACAAUGGGCGCAAGCCUGAUCCAGCCAUGCCGCGUAAGUGAAGAAGGCCCUCGGGUUGUAAAGCUCUUUUGUUGGGGAAGAAAAGCCUUGGGUUAAUACCCUGAGGUUCUGACGGUACCCAAAGAAUAAGCACCGGCUAACUUCGUGCCAGCAGCCGCAGUAA